GCAGUCAAUAUGGAAAUAAAGGGCAUCUGUGAAGAUAACGGUAAAGAGUGGAAAGGAAAGUGUAGGCAGAUAUCUAAACCACAAUAUGAGAUUGCAGCCAUUCUAACGUUAACAGCUAAGAUGGCUAUCUUUGGACUAAUUAUCUGCUUUGGAUCUUCAGUUCCUUCCCUAGACUGAGUUAAUGCAUUCAAGGUUGCAACCAUCAAGGCCGUUGCUAUUAUAAGCAAGGCUUGCAUGCUGACAAAUGAAAUCUCUCCUAUUUAUAACACCAGUCCAAAUACCUUUAUCCAGUACUUCUUACAGCUAAGCUAUGGCUCUGGAAAAGCAGAUUGUGCCGCCCAGGAGUCCUGUCUGCUCUUCAAGCGUGAUCGUUGCUUCUUGGAAGAUAAAGUGGUCAGCAAUGGCAUGGUGGAAGUCAAAUCCAAGAAGUCUGGAGGAAAGCAUUACAUGAAGCAAAAAUUACAUACUUCUUCUUGCUGUUUAUACAGAACCAGUUCACUGUCUCAGGCAGAUUCCCGCCAGACAUCUGUUAAUGCUAAAUGUUACUGCUGGGAGAUGGUUGGAAACCUGAGGUUUACUUGACAAAAAAUACCGUACACAGCGCUUUUCCUACAAAAAGGUCUCAACAAAUGCUGUGGAUUGUUCUUUUUUCCUAAGGCAAAAGGGGAAUUUUUACAUCAAAAGCAGCAAAACAGGAAAAUUCCAAUACUCCCUCCCACCUCAGCAAACAUUCUUUCUCAAUGCCUUUUUUUUCCUCAAGUGGAAGGAAAAGUGUGUGAGAGUAUGACAUCUGCAUUCCGCCUCUUCCUUUUCUCAGCCGGCCCUGGGAGGUGCUGCAAUUUGUUCACAAGCCUUCCUAAGGACAAGUCUUAUCUCACAGGUAUUGUUGCAAGACAUGAGGUCAAACUCCAAUAGGGGGUUUAUCAAACUUAGUGUUUACUCAGAAUCACCUUUGAGAGUAGUGGUGGCAGCAGAGCUCCCUAUCUUGUGUGUCAGGCAAUGCUUGCUGGUUGUGCUGAACUCUGCUGAGCGCUAGUGAGUACGCACACAGCCCCUUGGAUGUGUUUGCUUGUUGCAUCUGAUGGUCACUUAAUUCAUCAAGGAUUUUUAACUGCCACUGUUUGUUUGUUUGUUUGUUUAUAUUAGUCUUUGUGCAGGACAAGUGCAUGGCGAGCUGAGAAUCAGACUGCUAUAGGCAGGUUUUAUUAACAAAAGUUUUGCAGCUGUCUUGUGUAGCUGUAAGCAUUUUGGUUCUGUAACCCCUCAUCUUCAAUUCACCCAGCCAGGAACGUCUUCAUAUACGUAUCUGAUAUCAUGUAUCUACACAUAUAUUCAUAGUUCCUAUUCUUUAAUUAUACUGGAGAGCAAAUCACAAAGCCAAAAAGUCAUAUUCAAAGACACCUUUGGAAGCCAAGUUUGAGAACAUUGUCAGUAGUCAGGAGGACUAAAGCAUGCCUAGGCAGAUGCUCCAUUGCACUUUCAAAACCCAACUUUGUGUAUCUGAAACACCUUCUCUGCACCUGUUGAGCAAUGCAGCUUGAGUUUUACUUGGUUCUAGCACGUAGGAAACAAAUCUGAAAGAUCUUUGUCCUGUGAAAUAUCCUUAUAGUAAAGUUUAUUGCUCCUUUAGUCCUUUCCAGGACAACUGCGUGCCUUGUGACUGAGAGCAUGGAGAAACUCUGAUGUUGCAGUUAAUCAUAGAUAUCGUGAUGGUUAUUCAAAUGUAUUGCAGCAUUUUAUGUUUUGCUUAUGCGGGUUGAUUUAAAUUCAUCUAUUCUCUUGCAUUUUCUCGUACAUGUGGGAAAAGUCUUGUUUGAUAUCCAAAAGUGCUCUUCUCUGUACGCUAUGUUGAUCCUUUCAGUGUUGAUAGACUGUCCUCCAUGUUGUUGUCCUCUCAUUAUGUUUAUCCAACUUCGAACAGGGAUUGAUAACUGGAGGUCUUGUUGUCUAGCUCCAAAGAUGCCCUGUGGAGAAGGACUUGGGGGUCCUGGUAGACAAGAAGCUGGACAUGAGCCAGAAGUAUGUGCCUGCAGCCUGGAAAGCCAACCGUGUUCUGGGCUGCAUUAAAAAAGGGUUGGCCAGCAGGGAGAGGGAGGUGAUUGUCCCCCUCUACUCAGCUCCUGUGAGACCCCAUCUGGGGUAGUGUGUCAAGGCCUGGGGCCCCCAGCACAAGAAGGACACAGAGCUCUUGGAACAGGUCCAGAGGAGGGCCACUAAGAUGAUCACAGGGCUGUAGCACCUCUCCUAUGAAAAAAACAUUGAGGGAACUGGGAUUGUUUAGAUUGGAGAAGGCUCUGGAGAGACCUCAUUGUGGCCUUCCAAUACUUGAAGGGAGCAUAGAAACAGGCAGGGGAACGGCUGUUUACAAGGGUUGAUAGUGACAGGACAAGGAGGAAUGGUUUUAAAUUGAGGGAGGGGAGGCUUAGGUAGUUUUUCACACAGUGGGUUGUGACGCAGUGGAGCAGGUUGCCCAAGGAUGUUGUAGAUGCCUCAUCCUUGGAGGCAUUCAAGGCCAGGCUGGAUGUGGCUCUGGGCAGCCUGGUCUAGUGGCUGGCGACACUGCACAUAGCAGGGGGGUUGAAACUAGACAAUCGUUGUGGCCCUUUUCAACCCAGGCCAUUCUAUGAUUCUAUGCUGUAGAAGACAGGAAAUGGGAAUUGGGUAUCAUAGCCAUAUUAUAAUUCUUGAGUCUAUGAUAUUCCAUGCAUAGAAGCAAUGCAAAGUUAGUGUUGGGGUAACACUAUUUGGCAAUUUUUCAAACAUGGAGCUUGAAUUGAGAUAUUUGUUAGGUUAAUGUAGUUAUCUAAAAAAGUGGUUGGUUGGUUGGUUGGUUGGUGGUUUUUUUUCAGGUUGAGCAAAUACCAGAAACUUUCUAGGAAAGUAGACUAUCUAGUUUCAGUGUCUUAAUUAUUAACAUCUACCCACAGUUUGGCAUCUGAAAAUCUUUAUUCUUGUAAAACCAGCCAGAAAAUUGUUUUCUGUUGCUCCUGCUUCUUGUUAUGAAAAUACAUUUCCAACAAUUUUUAAAAAAU
ensembl:lncRNA